ensembl:rRNA 5S_rRNA 5S ribosomal RNA
GCAUGCAGCAGUAGCAACUUGAACAAUGAUCUUAUUAGAUCUUAUAAGCUAAGUUGGCUUGGGCUUACCCAGUAUUUGAAUGGGAGACCACCACUGAAAUACUGAAGGUGCUGCAGUA